GUUGGCAAGUGGUCCUUGGCUACAUCUUUCUUUCUGCCCCUCAUGCCAGGUCUUUCCUGUAAAUCAUUAUUAUUUCCUUCUACAAAACCAUGGUGUGACUUAAGCAUACAUAUGGUGUUCCUUCGCAGUUCCCAGAUCAAGUAGUAUGGGCGAACAUUCAGAAAUUAAAUGUGAUAUCUUUGUGUGUUGACUGCGUGAAACAACAUGAGUAAGUUGUAUUUUUCGGUACAACAAUGCUUUCGUUAGAGUUGAGUCAAACUUUAUGAACUUAUAAGAUCGAUUUGUUCUUAAUUUCAUAGUUUUCAAACUUUGGAUAUUGACACAUGCAUGUACAAAAGUAAUUAAAAGAUGUAGUCGUAGUAGUUCGUUACAUUCAUAUAAAAUAUAUGAUACAUGUUUUCAAUAAUGAGUAUCAUUGGUAUAUUUGGCAAAGACACAAGGGUGGUCUCAAAAAGGGAUGCACAUGCACCCCGUUAACUUUCGAAAAAAUCAUGUAUAUAUAUGUAUAUCUAUUUUAAAAACUGGUAGAAAUUAGGAUAUACUUACCGAUGUAUCCAUAGAAAAUGUAGAAGUUCCUUGUGCAAUUGGUAGAAGCAAGAGAUUUCACAUUGUGGACUACGGUUA